rnacentral:rRNA from 1 species
UGGGGAAUCUUAGACAAUGGGGGAAACCCUGAUCUAGCCAUGCCGCGUGAGUGACGAAGGCCCUAGGGUCGUAAAGCUCUUUCGCCAGGGAAGAUAAUGACGGUACCUGGUAAAGAACCCCCGGCUAACUCCGUGCCAGCAGCCGCGGUCAUACGGAGGGGGUUUGCGUUGUUCGGAAUUACUGGGCGUAAUGCGCACGUAGGCGGACCAGUCAGUCAGAGGUGAAAUCCCGGGGCUCAACCUCGGAACUGCCUUUGAUACUGCUGGUCUUGAGUUCGAGAGAGGUGAGUGGAAUUCCGAGUGUAGAGGUGAGAUUCGUAGAUAUUCGGAGGAACACCAGUGGCGAAGGCGGCUCACUGGCUCGAUACUGACGCUGAGGUGCGAAAGUGUGGGGAGCAAACAGGAUUAGAUACCCCCGUAGUCC